UACGUAGGGUGCGAGCGUUGUCCGGAAUUAUUGGGCGUAAAGGGCUCGUAGGCGGUCUGUCACGUCGGGAGUGAAAACACGGGGCUUAACCCCGUGCCUGCUUCCGAUACGGGCAGACUAGAGGUAUGCAGGGGAGAACGGAAUUCCUGGUGUAGCGGUGAAAUGCGCAGAUAUCAGGAGGAACACCGGUGGCGAAGGCGAGUCUCUGGACAUUUCCUGACGCUGAGGCACGAAAGCCAGGGGAGCAAACGGG
rnacentral:rRNA from 1 species